rnacentral:pre_miRNA from 1 species
CCCAAAGUGCUGGGAUUACAGGCAUGAGCCACUGCGCCCCGUUUUUUUUUUUUUUUUUUUUUUUUUUUUUUUUUUUUUUUUUUGAAAAAAAAAAAAAAAAAAAAAAAAAAAAAAAAAAAAAAAAAAGGCGGGGCGCAGUGGCUCAUGCCUGUAAUCCCAGCACUUUGGG